AAACGUAAGCUACUUUUGGAAAUAAGCGAUUCUAAGAAGGAUUUAAAAGCUACUCAAAUUUGGUUUUACUUGAGAAUUUAAGAUCUGAACCUCUAUUCAAACCAUCCUAUUUUUCUUUGCUCAGUCAAUUUCAGAAUCAUCCAACAAUUCAAUGGGGAAAUUCUCCGGGGCUCCAUUUUAUAUUAUGAGUCAACAUCUGAUGGAGAUAUUCAUCAUAGUAACUUGAGAUUUUGGUCAUAUGAGAAAGAUGGUGGUGCAUCAAAAAUUUGGAAAAAAGCUUCUGAUUUGGGUAUUAGACGAGGUGGUGAUGAGGCGAUCAUUGCGAAGAUUAGGCGCUUGGAAUCGAGGGAUGUCAAAGUGCAAAUUCAAAAGGACAUAAACAAAUCUGUUUCAACAUGAGUUUGUUAUCUUUUAAUAUAUGAGGGGCAUUAGUUAUUCAAAAAAGCGGGUUAUUUGGAACUUCAUUAGCUUUGGGAAAGUAGAUUUAUGUAUGUUGCAAGAGACUAAGAUGCCAAAAAUGGAGAAUUUCUUAGCUCAACAGUUUUGGGGAAACACUGAAGUUAUAUGGAGUGCGAAGAAUGCUGUUGGGAGAUUAGGAGGUAUGCUUUUGUUAUGGAAUCCUGUUUUGUUUGAGGCUUAACUUAGUUUUGUGGGAGAGGGAUUUAUUGGAAUCAAGGUAGUUUGGAAAGGGAUUCGCUAAAUUUAUUGGUGACAUGGACUUGGUGGAUUUAUCGGCAUUUGGGAACAAACUCUCUUGUUUCAAUUUGGUUAGGUAUUCAAUGAGUCAUUUAGACUGAUUAUGAAGGCCUAGUUGAUGCGUGGGGAUCAAGGGAGAAUCUAUUGAUAAUCGCAACAUUUCAGAUCAUUGUCCUAUUUCUAUUAAAUCUAGAUUGAUGAAUUGGGGUCCUAAGUCGUUAAAUUUUUUUCGGCUUGGAUUGAGCAUCCGAUUUUUUGCCGUUGGUUGAAGAAGUUUGGAGUUCUACUAUCACUCAUGGCCGUAAAUUGUAUUGUUUUAAGGAAAAUAUCAAGGUUCUUAAGAGUAGACUGAAGUCGUGGGAUGCAAAGGUAUUUGGUUUUUAGGAUUUACAAGUUGAUCUUGCUUUUAAGGAGAUUAGCUGUUCUGACUAGUUGGUAGCUGACGGUGAUGAUGUUGUAGAAACAACAUAUUUUCUUUCUAAUAAGAUGGAGGUUCAUACUCAGGUUUGGGAUAAGCUGCACAUUUGAGAAUCCAUGAUCAAGCAGAAAUCUAGAUGUCGUUGGUUAAAGGAUGGAUACCAAAAUUCCAAAUUUUUUCAUUCAUUCAUGAAAUAUAGGUACCUUCGUAACAACAUUGUUGGCUUUAAGCAUGGGGAAGUUGUUGUUGAUGAUAUUGAAGGAGUUAACCAACAGUUUCUUGAGCAUUUUCAAGACCGUUUUCAAGAGAAGUUUCCCAAAAGACCUUUACUUGAGGGUGUCUCUUUCAAUGAACUUUAUGAUGUUGAUAGAGAUGGUUUGGAAGAUUCUUUCACUAUAUAGGAUACAACAAAUGUUAUCUGGAAUGCAGAAAGCGGAAAAGUCAUGGUCCAUAUGUUUUUUUAAUGGAGUUCUAUAAAGCAUGUUGGGAUAUUAUUAAACUUGACCUAUUUGAUUGUAUUUAUGAAAUCUUUUUACAGGCUCA